rnacentral:rRNA from 1 species
AAUGAACGCUGGCGGCAUGCCUAACACAUGCAAGUCGAACGAAGUCCUUCGGGGCUUAGUGGCGCACGGGUGCGUAACGCGUGGGAAUCUGCCCCUUGGUUCGGAAUAACAGUUGGAAACGACUGCUAAUACCGGAUGAUGACGUAAGUCCAAAGAUUUAUCGCCGAGGGAUGAGCCCGCGUAGGAUUAGGUAGUUGGUGUGGUAAAGGCGCACCAAGCCGACGAUCCUUAGCUGGUCUGAGAGGAUGAUCAGCCACACUGGGACUGAGACACGGCCCAGACUCCUACGGGAGGCAGCAGUGGGGAAUAUUGGACAAUGGGCGAAAGCCUGAUCCAGCAAUGCCGCGUGAGUGAUGAAGGCCUUAGGGUUGUAAAGCUCUUUUACCCGGGAUGAUAAUGACAGUACCGGGAGAAUAAGCGCCGGCUAACUCCGUG